rnacentral:lncRNA from 1 species
UACUACCUUCCUUACUCCCAAGAAAAUGGUCCCUUCAUCCACUUUCUUAAACACUUCUUGUCAUUAAAUUUUUUAAGAGAACUUCUUUCCUAUACCUGCACCCAAAUCCACUAACACACCCGUAACUACUUUUUGGUAACUAAAUGAUCUCCUCAAGAUGAAGUCCUAGUUAUCAUGAUAGAUGUUCUAAUGAAGCCCAAUCACCAUGACUUGUGCUCCAACAAGCUGUUGUCAUCAUCAUCACUACAUCGAAAAAUGCAAGCCAUCAAAAUAUGAUCUUCAUGGCAAUUGCUUCAACUUCUGCAUAAACCAUUUUGAUUGUUCCCAUCACCACACAAGGAUUUGAAGUUCAAGCAUUCACCCGGGGUUUGUCCAUCUUACAAAACGAAUUUGAAAAGAGGGGGUCAAUGAUACCUCGGAGAACAGAGUACCAGGACUCAUCAUGUGAUGCAUCACCACUUAGGAGUUAUUGUUUUCUUUAAAGCGGCAUAGAUUCUGAUAAAGCAGUUACUUUCUUCACCCGAAUAGCAAUAAGCAUCUCGAGCUCGAAAGUGAGAGGGAGCCAGUGUUAUGGCAAUAAAUAAUCGAAGUGAUGUGGCGCAUAAGAAUUCUUCCAGCACAACCCAUACUACUAUAAUCCUGCAUCCGAGGUUCUUCUAAGGUAUCUCAGCCUGGUCUCCUCAGUCGAGCAUGGGAAGCAAGCCAAGCAGAGUAGAAGCGUUUAACCCCCAAGGCAGCUUUCUCCCAGCUCAGCUCCAC